rnacentral:rRNA from 1 species
GGGUCAGUAGGUUGGUCGUGCCACCGGUACGUACUGGUCUCACUGAUUCCUCCCUCCUGAAGAACCGUAAUGCCAUUAAUUUGGUGUUGCGGGGAAACAGGACUGUUACUUUGAAAAAAUUAGAGUGUUUAAAGCAAGCUAACGCUUGAAUACAUUAGCAUGGAAUAAUGAAAUAGGACGAUCGAUCCUAUUUUGUUGGUUUCUAGGAUUGACGUA